rnacentral:lncRNA from 1 species
UAUGCUCAUUGUGAAUGUUCUUAGCCAUUUUGAAGAGCUGUUUGUCUGUACAUGUUCAACAGGAAAUGACCAGCUGGCUGUAUGGCUGCACACAGAUGAGUGGCUCAAUGUGUGUUCAGGCAGUAGAUCUCUCACCUCAGACAGAACUUCUUCCAGCUUAUAAGGCUGUAACAGUAAAAAUCAGUGAGCUUUUGUCUGUUUCUCAUCUCAUCAUUGAUGCCUCGAACCCCAGUGGAGCACAGGUUAGAGGUUAAUACAGUCCACAUUAUCAUGUUCGUA